rnacentral:rRNA from 1 species
GACGAACGCUGGCGGCGUGCUUAACACAUGCAAGUCGAACGGAAAGGCCCUGCUUUUGUGGGGUGCUCGAGUGGCGAACGGGUGAGUAACACGUGAGUAACCUGCCCUUGACUUUGGGAUAACUUCAGGAAACUGGGGCUAAUACCGGAUAGGAGCUCCUGCUGCAUGGUGGGGGUUGGAAAGUUUCGGCGGUUGGGGAUGGACUCGCGGCUUAUCCGCUUGAUGGUGGGGUAGUGGCUUACCAAGGCUUUGACGGGUAGCCCGCCUGGGAGGGUGAACGGGCACCAUGGGACUGCGGUACGGCCCAGUAUCCUACGGGAGGCAACGGGGGGGAAUCUUACACAACGGGGCGGAGCCAGAUGCAGCAACCCCGGGUGCGGGAAGCCCGGCUUUGGGGUAUAAACCACUUUCGCCUGUGACGAAGCGUGAGUGACGGUAAUUGGUCAAGAAGCACCGGCUAACUACGUG